AUUGAACGCUGGCGGCAGGCUUAACACAUGCAAGUCGAGCGGGGUGAUGGUGCUUGCACUAUCACUUAGCGGCGGACGGGUGAGUAAUGCUUAGGAAUCUGCCUAUUAGUGGGGGACAACAUUUCGAAAGGAAUGCUAAUACCGCAUACGUCCUACGGGAGAAAGCAGGGGAUCUUCGGACGUUGCGCUAAUAGAUGAGCCUAAGGCGGAUUAGCUAGUUGGUGGGGUAAAGGCCUACCACGGCGACGAUCUGUAGCGGGUCGGAGAGGAUGAUCCGCCACACUGGGAGUGAGACACGGCCCAGACUGCUACCGGAGGCAGCAGGGAGGAAUAGUGGACAAUGGGCGGGAGCCUGAUCCAGCGAUGCCGCGUGUGUGAAGAAGGACUGAUGGUUGUAAAGCACUUUAAGCGAGGAGGAGGCUACUUUAGUUAGUACCUAGAGAUAGUGGACGUUACUCGCAGAAUAAGCACCGGCUAACUCUGUGCCAGCCGCCGCGGUAACAC
rnacentral:rRNA from 1 species